GUUGAUAGAGGUGCACUUUUUAUCAGUAGCCCGAGGGAGAACGCGAAUUUUUCUGUGAAUUCGGGUCGAAAGGAAAAAGUGCCGAAAAAGCGGUUUGUUCGCAGGACCGUUUUUGGGUGUAUGGCGAACAGCCAUGCAACUGUCACCGUGUGAUUACGCGGUGGAGUGCUAUCUG
rnacentral:ncRNA from 1 species